rnacentral:miRNA from 1 species
NACCUCAUCAACCGGAAGGAAUCCCUUCCGGUCGAUGAGGUUGUUAUACCUCAUCGACCAGAAGGAUUUCCUUCAGGUCGAUGAGGUU